GCCUUCCUCUGCCCUGCUAGGAUUACAGACUGGUUCAUGCAGAAUUUCAAUUGCAUCAGAAUGCAGAGCCUUUCUGGGUUUGGAAACACCAUUAGACUGCAACCUCUGCAUGUGCUCCUUACCCAGAAAGAGCUGGCUUACCUGAAGCUGAUGGAUGUGAUCUGAUUUGUGUUGAAUUCUCGUUUUCACAGUUGCUAAUGUCAUUGGAAUCCUGCGGCCUGUGAAGAACAAACAUAAAUGCGAGGCACUCAAUGGAUUACCCAAAUAAACUAAAGAGAUUGAAAUUGUG